rnacentral:SRP_RNA from 1 species
GCCGGGCGUGGUGGCCCAUGCCUGUAGUCUCAGCUACUCAGGAGGCUGAGGCGGGAGGAUUGCUUGAGCCCAGGAGUUAUGGCCUGCAGUGCGCUAUGCCGAUCGGGUGCCUGCACUAAGUUCGGCAUCAGUAUGGUGACCUGGGAGCGGGGGACCACCAGGUUGACUAAGGAGGGGUGAACUGGCCCAGGUCGGAAAUGGAGCAAGUCAAAACUCCUGUGCUGAUCAGUAGUGGGAUCAUGCCUGUGAAUAGCCACUGCUCUCCAGCCUGGGCAACAUAGUGAGACCCCAUCUCU